rnacentral:lncRNA from 10 species
ACUCGGGUUUGAGUAGGGGAAUCCUUGGGGUGGGAGCAGCUGUUGCUACAAGAUUGAGAAACAUAUCUUGACUUUUUCGGGCAGGGAAACUGAGACCACAUGGUGAAGAAUCUGUUUGGCGAAAGGGCUGGAAGAUUCCGGGGCUGUGCCUGCAAUGAGGGAUAUACAACAGUUCUCCCUAUGCCUGGAACAGAGAACCUCCUCUCAAAAAAAAAAAAAAAAAAAAGCCAGACCAAAGAAGAACUAAGCCUACUCAGUUAGAAGAUGACAAGGAUGAAGACCUUUAUGAUGAUCCACUUCUACUCAAUGAAUAGUAAAUAUAUUUUCUCUUCUUUAUGAUUUUCUUAUAAACAUCUUCUUUUCUCUAGCUUACUUUAUUGUAAGAAUACAG